rnacentral:rRNA from 1 species
UACGUAGGGUGCGAGCGUUAAUCGGAAUUACUGGGCGUAAAGCGUGCGCAGGCGGCUUUGCAAGACAGAUGUGAAAUCCCCGGGCUCAACCUGGGAACUGCAUUUGUGACUGUAUAGCUAGAGUACGGUAGAGGGGGAUGGAAUUCCGCGUGUAGCAGUGAAAUGCGUAGAUAUGCGGAGGAACACCAAUGGCGAAGGCA